rnacentral:rRNA from 1 species
AGCGGCAGGCCUAACACAUGCAAGUCGCACGAGAAUCCGGUUUCGGCCGGUAGUAAAGUGGCGGACGGGUGAGUAACACGUGGAUAAUCUGCCCUUCGGCGGGGGACAACAGUCCGAAAGGAUUGCUAAUACCGCAUACGUCAGCGAGGUCUUCGGACUUUGUUGGGAAAGAUGGCCUCUUCAUGAAAGCUAUCACCGAAGGAUGAGUCCGCGGCCCAUCAGCUAGUUGGCGGGGUAAUGGCCCACCAAGGCUUAGACGGGUAGCUGGUCUGAGAGGAUGAUCAGCCACACUGGAACUGAGACACGGUCCAGACUCCUACGGGAGGCAGCAGUGGGGAAUAUUGGGCAAUGGGCGCAAGCCUGACCCAGCCAUGCCGCGUGAGUGAUGAAGGCCUUCGGGUCGUAAAGCUCUGUGGGGAGGGAAGAAACCGCUUACUGAUAAUACCAGUGAGUCUUGACGGUACCUCCUUAGCAAGCACCGGCUAACUCCGUGCCAGCAGCCGCGGUAAUACGGA